rnacentral:rRNA from 1 species
GACGGGGCCCGCACAAGCGGUGGAGUUAUGUGGAUUAAUCGAUGCAACGCGAAGAACCUUACCAGGCCUUGACAUGCUAGGGAACCCGGGUGAAAGCCUGGGGUGCCCCGCGAGGGAGCCCUAGCACAGGUGCUGCAUGGCCGUCGUCAGCUCGUGCCGUGAGGUGUUGGGUUAAGUCCCGCAACGAGCGCAACCCUCGACCUUAGUUGCCAGCAUUCAGUUGGGCACUCUAAGGUGACUGCCGGCUAAAAGUCGGAGGAAGGUGGGGAUGACGUCAAAUCAUCAUGCCCCUUAUGACCUGGGCUACACACGUGCUACAAUGGGCGGUACAAAGGGUCGCGAACCCGCGAGGGGGAGCCAAUCCCAAAAAGCCGCUCUCAGUUCGGAUUGCAGGCUGCAACUCGCCUGCAUGAAGCCGGAAUCGCUAGUAAUCGCGGAUCAGCAUGCCGCGGUGAAUACGUUCCCGGGCCUU